rnacentral:rRNA from 1 species
UACGUAGGGUGCAAGCGUUAAUCGGAAUUACUGGGCGUAAAGCGUGCGCAGGCGGUUGUGCAAGACAGAUGUGAAAUCCCCGGGCUUAACCUGGGAAUUGCAUUUGUGACUGCACGGCUAGAGUGUGUCAGAGGGGGGUAGAAUUCCACGUGUAGCAGUGAAAUUCGUAGAUAUCGGGAGGAACACCAGUGGCGAAGGCGGCGAUCUGGGAAGAUACUGACGCUGAGGUGCGAAAGCGUGGGGAGCAAACAGG